rnacentral:tRNA from 1 species
GUUUUUAUAGUUGAAUACAACGUUGAUUUUUCAGGUCACAGGUCUUGGUUAGAGCCCAGGUAAGAAUA